ACUCAACACUAUUACAUUAAAGAGGAUGAGUCAAAUUUGUAAAAGCACGCCUUAACAGGAUUCUUGAUCAGUUUGUUAGUCCUAAACCUGUCAUAUGGAGUUU
rnacentral:sRNA from 1 species